rnacentral:lncRNA from 1 species
GUUUGGCGUUGCAGCUGUGUGGGCGCUGGUGCGUGCGAGUAGCGCUCGAAGAAACCCAAAGGCGUCGUGGGGCUGCCGUGUGCCCCAGAGAGCACUGCAGGCCGGGUAGGGGCUAAGGCUCCCCGCAGUCUUCUGUGUGUCGUCCAGUACGCAGUUGAAAUCGUUCUCCAACCUGGCCAGUCCUCCGAGGCCCUUCUCAGGCGACCAGACUCUGUUAACAGAGUCCAUUGCUAAAACUCCUCGUUAGUAUUUACCACUCCUCCAGUCUGUGUUUUGAAGCAGUGGUUUUCAACCACUGCCCGUUUUCAGAAGAAAUCAUCUCAAGCGUCCGUGUGCUGCUAGAAGCCGGGCCGGGAGGUCUUGGUGCCGGACUCCACCCUGCAGCCCUUCCCUUUCGCCACCGCCCUGUGCUUAGAGAAACCUUAGAGUGGAGCAAUGAGUCGCCCUUGACUGAGUAACUCUUCGGGGUCAACUUCUCCUUCCACGCCAAGGAAAGGAUUCCAGGGCGAUGUUUCUGGAAAUAGAGAUCUGACCAAGCCACUGCUCUGGUGAAAAUUCAGUGGGUCCCUAGCACCUAGUGCAGCGGCUCCUAGCCUGAGUAUUGCCGUCUUUCGGUGGGGAGGGGUUGGGUUUUUUUGUAGCAUCUGUUGAUCUGAUCUCCAACAUCCUCCACGUCAAUUCCCACUCCACCCACAUCCCUUAUCCUAUACGUAAGCUUUCCAGCCACGGUGCUGGCUUGGGUGGGGGUGCGUGCGGUGCUGACACCAAAAUGGAGGUCCCGUGUUUCUGAGAGUCUCUUUCAGAGCAAUGCAAACCUGAAACUACUCCUGCCAAGAAACGAUUGCAGCUCUUCCCGGAAAAGUUAAAGCCUUUGAGAAACAAAGCUGAGGGCCUAGGGGAUGCCAAAUUCCAGGGUCCAGAAAGAGCUUGGGAUAAAAUGAACAUCCAAGGGGAGGGCUUUGACCUGGGCUGAGUCUGCCUGUGCCGAGUCUGCCUGUGCCAUCCAACUGGAGUCUCAAGUCCUGAGGCAGGACGUCCAGAUGCCCCAGUGCAGGGUCCUCCUGAUCAACACCUGCUCCCCUGUACUCAUUAGCAACCUCACCCACCCUACUCUCAAAGCACACUUGGCUCUCAUAUCCAGGAGCUCUGCAUCUGUAGAUUCAGCAACAGCAGAUGGAAAAUAUUCAGAAAAUAAAUUGGACAGUUAUAUUUCUAUUGAA